rnacentral:lncRNA from 1 species
CGAUAAAUUGAAUCGAAGCGUUGCCGUCAUCAUCUUACAACAACUGAGAGGCAGUUCAGAAAGAGGGAAUAACAGGGCCAAGUCUCAGAAGCUAAGUAGAAAGGCUAAUCCUUGUCCAUAGGCCAGAGCAUUGUUGCAAGAUGAUCUGAACUGUAGCAUGGUUGAAACCCAUCGGACAAGCAUACCUGCGCAAGCGCAGAUAGCCGUGAGGUUGAACCCCACCCACCUGCAGUCCGGUUUCUGUCUAGAAGGUCAGGAUGGGUCCUGAAACUGUCCACGUCGUUACUGCUGGCCAAGGCCUUACCGGUUCAGGAUCCCUGCUGUAUCCUACACUUUAUUUAAAUGGCUAAGUCAAGUGAAAUAAAGGCCCGAGACCCUGUGUAAGUUUGCCUCCGUUAUACUGAGUGAGGUGCUAGCGUAGGAAGCAUGCAGACCCUUGUGGAAAGAACGGACCCUCCCAGCAGAAGUAGCAAGGCACGACCAGGAACCUCCAAGGAGAACAUGGUCUGUGAAAGAGGGGUGACUAUGCGAAAGGAGUAGCUCUUCUCAGGUCUGUUCUCUGGCCCAUGUCCCUGUGGAGAAAUGUCUAAAUUCUGCAGAAACUAGGAAGGAGAAAGAAAAUCUGAAAAACUCUUCCAAAAAUCUCUUCUUUGAUGACCUCAAUCAGAGUAGGAGCAAAAAAGACAAGACACCAUCCAAUUUCCUAUGGCAUCUCCCAAAGAGGGUGCGUUAUUAUAAGUAGUACUGUCACCACCACCACCACCACCACCACCACCAUCACCACCACCACCACCAUCAUCAUCAUCACCACCACCAUCAUCAUCAUCACCACCAUCAUCACCACCACCACCACAAUCACCACCACCACCACAAUCAUCAUCACCACCACCAUCAUUAUCACCACCACCACCAUCAUCAUUAUCAUCAUCAUCAACAUCACCACCACCACCAUCAUCAUCCUCUCACAUAUUCCAUCCCCAAACACAGUUCCCUCUCCCUCCUCUCACCCCAGUCUCCCCUCCACCUCUCCCUCCCCUCAGAAAAGAGCAGGCCUCCCAGGGACAUCAACCGAACACAGCUAAACAAGCUAAAGAAGACCGAGCAUAUACCAUCACAUCAAGGCUGGACAAAGCAUCCAAAGCAAAGUAUCAAAUAAUCCAAUAAGUAGAGGAUUUCUGUGUCUCGGUCAGGAUUCAUGAGAACAUGCCACCUCGGGGUCAGCAGAGCACGACGCCUGUACACCAAUGUGAGCAACUGACGGAUUACUAACCUCACUUCUAUUAUGGUCUGAAGAAUGUAGCACAUGGAAUUCUGGGAGAUUUAUCUAAGAGCACUUUCUGCAUCCCAGUUUUAUCGGUAAAUUAUUCUCAGACCAUGAGGUUCCCAAACCUGACCUUCCUGAAAUUGAACCAGUAGUGGCCAAAGAGAGCAUUUCUUUAUGGUGUCCAUUAUCCUGGUGAAAUGGAAGAGUAUAUUCAGAGACACCCUGGGCUCAGAAGCUGUGCUCCACCAUCUGGACUUAAAACCCCCAGGGUUAGAAAACUACAGAAAUUGUACAAAUCAGACCAAGCGGCAGCCUCCGACAUCCCCAGUCUCCGUUUUAUUUAUCUUUCCUGGCCACCUUCAUUUUCCCCUCCAAAUGGAAAGCUAAAGUAAGACAUGUGUUUGA